UACGUAGGGUGCAAGCGUUGUCCGGAAUUAUUGGGCGUAAAGAGCUCGUAGGCGGUUUGUCGCGUCUGCUGUGAAAAACUGGGGGGCUCAACCCCCCAGCCUGCAGUGGGUACGGGCAGACUAGAGUGCGGUAGGGGGAGAUUGGAAUUCCUGGUGUAGCGGUGAAAUGCGCAGAUAUCAGGAGGAACACCAGUGGCGAAGGCGGAUCUCUGGGCCGUAACUGACGCUGAGGAGCGAAAGCUGGGGAGCAAACAGG
rnacentral:rRNA from 1 species